rnacentral:lncRNA from 10 species
GGUGUGCUUGCAGGCUUUGAAGAACAAGCUGCCAUGAAUCCUGCAGCUACAAGGAAAUGAACUCUAUUAACUUGAGUGAGCUUAAAACUAGAUCCUUCCCCAGUCAAGCCUCCAGGUGAGAAUUCAAUCCUGGCUGGCACCUGGAUUGCAGCUUACAGAAGACCCAGCUAAGGCCAUGUCUGGACUUUAAAUCCACAGGAACUGCAAGAUAUUCUUCAUUAUUCCAUCAUCAUCUCAAACCUCUUGGGUAUAGUGUUUGACUACUACUGUGACCAUAAAUUCCAAUAAAACCUAGGAAAAAUGAAACCACUACAUUAACUGAAAGGGAUAAGACAUGAUGGACAGAAAUUUCCAUGCAAUUAUUCCAUUCUGGUGAGAUUAGAAGGUGCUAAGCAGAUAAAGAAAUCAUCUUAUCAAGAAGGAAAAGUACCAUUUACUGAAGAAGGUCUGCUAAACUUUAAUCAUGACUGAAAAUAUAAAAAGACACUUUAAAUGGAUAAAUGCAGCUAUUGCACACAAUUGACAUGGCUGUAGAGAUGACAGAGUGAAGAGGUAUUUGAUCAGUCAUUUGUUAUAAAAG